rnacentral:lncRNA from 1 species
CAGUGUUCGGUUUAGUAAUGGUAACGUUACUCGACGUAGUUUUCAAUUAUUUUCAACCGACUUCUGUACAAAACGUCAAAGCUUUGCACCAUUUUUAAUACAGCUGGCAUUUUCAUGUUUAACUACUCAUUUAAAAAAAAUAGACUGUUUACAUGACUGAUUGUAUACUUUUGACAAUUAAAUAAACUUUAUUUCCUCAUAAUCUUAACUUAACGAAAGUAUACAUUUCAAAAAUUUGUCACUGUCCAAGCAUGUCAAUUGAUGCAAAAUGCUUAUCCUCU